AAUACCCUGGGCUAAUGACGGUACCGUAAGAAUAAGCACCGGCUAACUACGUGCCAGCAGCCGCGGUAAUACGUAGGGUGCGAGCGUUAAUCGGAAUUACUGGGCGUAAAGCGUGCGCAGGCGGUUUUGUAAGAUAGGCGNGAAAUCCCCGGGCUCAACCUGGGAAUGGCGCUUGUGACUGCAAGGCUGGAGUGCGGGAGAGGGGGAUGGAAUUUCGGGUGUAGCAGUGAAAUGCGUAGAUAUGCGGAGGAACACCGAUGG
rnacentral:rRNA from 1 species